GGGACGAUAGCUCAGUCGGUAGAGCAACUGGCUUUUAACCAGUGGGUCCAGGGUUCGAACCCCUGUCGUCCUACCA
rnacentral:tRNA from 1 species